CCUUGAAAUACCACCCUUUAAUGUUUGAUGUUCUAACGUGGACCCGUGAUCCGGGUUGCGGACAGUGUCUGGUGGGUAGUUUGACUGGGGCGGUCUCCUCCUAAAGAGUAACGGAGGAGCACGAAGGUUGGCUAAUCCUGGUCGGACAUCAGGAGGUUAGUGCAAUGGCAUAAGCCAGCUUGACUGCGAGCGUGACGGCGCGAGCAGGUGCGAAAGCAGGUCAUAGUGAUCCGGUGGUUCUGAAUGGAAGGGCCAUCGCUCAACGGAUAAAAGGUACUCCGGGGAUAACAGGCUGAUACCGCCCAAGAGUUCAUAUCGACGGCGGUGUUUGGCACCUCGAUGUCGGCUCAUCACAUCCUGGGGCUGAAGUAGGUCCCAAGGGUAUGGCUGUUCGCCAUUUAAAGUGGUACGCGAGCUGGGUUUAGAACGUCGUGAGACAGUUCGGUCCCUAUCUGCCGUGGGCGCUGGAGAACUGAGGGGGGCUGCUCCUAGUACGAGAGGACCGGAGUGGACGCAUCACUGGUGUU
rnacentral:rRNA from 3 species